UAUGAAGAAGUUUGUCCAGUCAUCAAUUUUGACUUAAUCGGUACCACUUAAGGUAACAAAACAGUACUCAGAAACCAGCCUUAGUGUACCAUGGCCCACACAAAAAUGUAAUACAGCAAUCCCAGGGUGGCAGCUGUAGCCAAGUAGGAGUCAAUGAAGGGUUACAC